UCUGUUCUUUCUUCUCUGUCUCUGUUUUUAACAACAACACUCUAUCAACUUUCUAUAUCUGGAAACAUUAAGUAACACAGUUUGCAGACAUCAGUCUGGGAUUUUGAAGCACAUUCCUUCUUUACCUCCCUCUCAACACUCAGGUUAUGACAGCACCCAGGGUACACAGAGGGGUAGUCAGGGUGGGCCAUUGGAUUAAAUAUUACCAGAGCCAUGAGAACUUCCAUUAAGCACAGCGCCAGACUCGCUUACAUUGUAUUACCUCAUGACCUUCAGCUGGGUUUAAUUGAAUCCGUGUUUAGUCAAUGAGUAGUGGGAUCGAAGCAGUCAUAAUUUCUCGCCCGUGUCCGUCCUUGAGUCACGGACCACUCUCUCUCCUUUUGUAAGAGUGAGAGCUUGACGGCGAGUGCCAAGCACAUAUUGUUGCCUCCCCAUCAAAUAAGAGAAGCAGAUGUUUGGCUUCUCUGGGUCACUCUGACAAGGGGCCAAAACCAAUAACCAGCCCUGGAUUCUUCCCUUUCUGGUGGAAUUCACUUGCUCUUCCUUAGUGUGCCUUGAGACGGGGCCAAAGUGGCUCUCUUCUCCACGUGUCUUCGCUAUCAUCUGCUUCGCAGUGAAAGAGCGGUGAAAACAAAUUCCUGGUGGGGUUUGCUCCUAUCUUAUCAGAUCAGUGUUUAGAGAAGGGAAGCCACUUCAGAGAGGUGAGGCGUGCUUUGCUUGUAUCUGUCUCGAAUUCUCCUUGGACUCAAUGUACACAGAGAGCUCUGACAGCACAUCACCACAGUUUAAUGUUUGAUUGGCAGUGACUUAGAUGCGUAUUCAGCAGUUGAUCGAGUCAUUGAUCACUUUGAUUGAUUAUUUAAUUGUGGUGUGAGGGUUGGGAGCUGGGUUAAUAGUAACCAUGGUGAGGAAUGGCAGUGCUCUCGGAUGACUGAUCCUGCAAAUUAUGGAGCUGAUCAAAAGGUUUCUUCAUUGAUUAAUGGAUGAAAUAGAUGUUUACUAUAGUCUGCGACAAGAAAAGUCAGAAGUGGAACUAGUUAUAGUUACUGAAGAAUACAGAGAAACACUAUUUUGAAAUCUCUGUAAUUUUUUCCUAUGUGUUUUUGUGCAUUUUCACACCUUAAUUAGAAAUAUAGCAGUUGAGAGAUGACAGGAAAUGAGGGGAGAGAGAUGGGGAAAGACAUGCCACAAGGGCCCCAUUUACACCUGGUAUUAACAUGAGAUCUGUAUCUGGAUACAUUAUCUGGUAUAAUAUCUGAUCAACGGGACUUGGUAUUAAUAAGCGUUCUCAUUAUCUUGAUUCUAUCUGCAUUGUGAUCUGAUCUCACUAUGCAGAUUAGUUAGGUGGGGCAGGUGGAAAAAAAACACACAUUGUCCUACCCAGGUCAGGUAAAAGCAUUUGAUUAAAUUUUUGUGAGGUAUAGACCUGCUAUAUACUGCUACUUGUAGAGCUAGCAGGAAGAGGCUGACUUGGGUGCAGUGUUCUUGUCAAGACAAGUCCAAAAACUAAUGCUUUUGCCAAUGAGAUGAGUUUUGGCAGCCAGUUGUUUCCAGGCAGCCAGUGUCAGUGCUCGUUCUAAAUGGAUUUUGAAUUAAAGCAAUACCCAUUAUUGGUUUCGUUUUGAAGGAGGAAUUCCAAGACUUAAUAUUUGACGAGACCAAUAGCCAAGUCCAAGACAACAGAAAAAACAUCUCAAGUCUACUACAGCACUGGUUAGGUGCUCUGACGUCACACUAUAUCACCACCUCCAAAUGUGAUCUGACCGGUUUGAUUGCCUUAAGAUCACAAUGCCUGCAUUUACAUGUUGCAUUAACAUGUGCUGUUCCUGAUCAAGGUAAGAUAGCCAUAAGAUAGCCAUGUUAAUGGUCUGUAAAUGGUGGGAAAAAGUUCCCGGCUGAAUUUAAACCAUUGGCGCCCCCAUUUUCAGUCUUUGCAACUGAAGAAAAUGCAAUGCUUUGGUCAUAGACUGUUCUUAAUGAUGCUGUUGUUAGUAUUAAAGAAAAAAUUUACAAUGUGCUUGAAGUCAAACUUUCUUCUGCAUACUUUAAUUUUGCUCAAACACUUAAUUUGACAAUUUAUUUAAUUUAAAAUAAAAAAUGGGAAACGGUUCAGUUAGGGUUAGAAAACUCAGAACUAUGACUGAAGUGUACAAUGAAAACUCAGCUCAAUGUACUUUUGUGAUGAACUGCAAAAUGAAUAACAAAAAUUCAGCUGAGGAAGCAGUGCAAUGCUUUAAUCAGAAUGAACAUUUUGAAACUCUACUUCUGGUCAGAGCUGCCUAUCCUUAUUUUGUGUCCUGCAGGACGGAGGAGCAGGCGGUGAUGGAAUUGGAGGGGACUUCAUCACGGUGCUUACACCUAUCACAUCCCCUCACAUCAUUAAAUGAAAAAUGAAUGGGUGCACUUAGAAAACUGGUGAGGCGUUCUUUGACCUCUGUGUUUCCUGCCCCGACUGUGUUCAUGUGCGUGUUUGGUAGAAAGACAAUGUGUAUGUGUGUGUGUGUCUAUGUGUGUGUGGGGCUGUGUGUCAGUGCUGCGAAGAUGGUGAGCAGUAUGGAUCUGUAUUAAGCUGGAAAAAGGAAGGAGCAGAUCAUUAACUGGUGGGCCAGCUGCCAUCGCUGCAUUACCGGCUCUUCAAUCUCAAGGUGUGGUCACAAGCCAAGGUCAGAGGUUCUCUGGUGUCCCCUUCAAGCGUGUGAAUGAUGGACCCUCCUGCCUGGGCCUGGAUUAGCGGUGGCUUGGUUGGAUGGCACUGAGCUGAUACGCUGCAGCUUUUUCAUCUCACGGCAGGGUGAAAGAGUUUGUGUGUGAAGAAAGAAGAUAAAGGAUCCAGAUCUAUUCUAUAGCUUGCAUUAUUCCUUUGUGUAUUUGUGAGUCUGAGCAAGAGAGGGAGAGAGAGAGAGAGAGAGAGAGAGAGAGAGAGAGAGACAGAGAGAGACAGAGAGAGAGAGAGAGAGACAGAGAGAGAGAGAGAGAGAGAGAGAGAGAGAGAGAGCAAGGAGGGUGAAGGAAGAAGAGAGAGUCCUCAUGUGCAUUGGAGGCAGCCAGAAGCCAGUGUGUAUCUAAAGGCGUUCAGAGCAAGGAAUGAUCAGAGGGUGUGAGCCCAACACAUUCAUCAGGGCUCUCCACCGGGACAUAAGUUGAGGCACACCACAGAGACGAAUAAAAAAGCCGUGGACCGAAAAGAAAUGAAAUAAUUUAUUCCAGGAAUCGAGUGGAGGAGAUUUGGAGAAGUAUGUGUGGAAGGGGAAGGGCAGAGGAAUGGAUUAAGGCUGCGUUCAGUGUCUGCGUGAGAUAGAGGCUAGCACUGUGGCCCUGAACUUUUUCCUAUUCCACACACCGCCACUGAAAGGAAAUUCAAUUGCCACUUACCCUCACUUUCUGCCCGGUGUGUGAGAGCGGAAGGAAAAGGGAAAGAGAGAUAGACUCAGCGACUGAAUGCAAAGUAAAUGCACACAUAUAGAGUGGAAUGCAAGGUGGGGGAAUUUAAAGAAAGUUGAAAAAGCCAUCUCAGACUCUUUUAAAAACAUGGCAGCGCUCUGUGGCCCCUUCACUCUUCUUUACUGAACCCCUUCCCUACUAUCUGUCUCCAUCUCACCUAACCAGCCCUCCACCAUACCAUCUUGCUCUAUGUCAAAGCUCAAUGUCUUUAAUGUUAAUACCACACAGUCCACGCAGGCUCAGAGCGUAAUCCCAAUAGCGUUCAGCCUGGUACUUUUCUCCAAAAGAAAAUAAAAUUUGUUGAGUUCACAAACAAGUGUUUGAUGCGGCACCGUGUGGAAAUCUCAGUAUAUCCCCUGCGGCUCGAGGUCUGUUUGUUUAACGACAUCCACGCCAGAUGGAGGAACUUGCCAGUCACAGUGAGAGGAAACAACACAACCGGAAAUUUAAGUAAAAACAUCACAUGAUGUGUGUCAUGAUGAAGGAGUCCAUUGGAUAUAUUUCACUAGGUUCAGCGGACCAGCCCUCACACACUGCAGCGAUCAAAGCUAAAUGUGGCACUCGAAGCCGCCAUUUGGCCUGUGGGAACAUGUCAAAUUCAAUUUCAGUGGGACUUGACAGAGACACUGCAGAAAUCCAGACACAAAAAAAGAGAUCUUUUCUAUGUCUUAAUCAGCCUUGUUAACUGCACUUUGAUUAUUAGUCAAAUGAGUUUGAAUUGCUUGUGUACACCAUCUGUCUGUGUGUGUGGGGAGUUAGGUUAGGGUGGUUAUUAAAGUUUAACAAUGGUAUUAUUUGAUAUUUACAUGUAUUAUGGCUUAUUUAUACUCACCACUGUAACAAUGAACAAUUGUUAUGAAAUGGAAAUGUGCAAGUUGAAUUACAGUGUCCAGUGUGACAUAGUUACAUCCUACUACUGAUGCAGAAGAAAAUGACUGUUUCAUAGCAGCAGUAAGAGAGAUGGUAAAACAGACAUAUAGUUACAAAAUGGAAUAACAUUACAUGUUCAUCAACAGGUUGUGAUGUUAUCGAGUGUCAAACAGUAGACUGAUAGAUUAGUUUGAAGCUUAUAGCUUCUCCAAUGUGAGGAUUUGCUGCUUUUCUUUGUUCUGUAUCAUUAUAAACUGUAUCUUUUUGUUUUUGGAUUCUUCUUUGGACAAAAGACAUUUGAAGACGUCACCUCGGGCCCUGGGAAACUGCCAUCAUGAACUUUAUUCACUAUUUUUGGAGAUGUAGACUAAACGAUUAAUCGAGACAAUAAUUAUUAAUAAGAAUAAUCGUUAAUUGCAACUCUAGUUAAAUUAGUUUUUAACUCUAGGAGAGAAGCGUUUUCACAAAUCAGUUGAGAUUGAUCAACAACUGUUAUUGUAUUGCUGUUGUAGUUCAUUAUUUGAGCAUGACACUUAGUUGUAUGUAGUAGUAGAAUAUAACUAAGUACAUGUACUUAGGUACUGUACUUAAGUACAAGUUUGAGCUGUACUUGAGUAUUUGACAGUGUAUGUACUUUCAAAUUAAGGUUUUUUGUAUACAAAAUAUAUGAAGAGCGUAUGUAUGAUGCAUUAAGCUACCUACAGUAAUGGCACAAGCAGAGUAACGUGUAUCAGACUGUUUACUGCAUGUUUCUGAAUUUGAAGUAGUGUGUCAGUCGUUGUUGUUGCUGGUCAUUGCACUACAUCUCUAUGUCCCAUUUAUUAUUUUCCCAGUUAGGCAAAAACCCCAGACACUCGGUUUCAAUUGCUUGAGAGAAAAUAAUUGGCAACUAUUUUGAUAAAUGUUGAAGUUGUUUUUCAUGCAAAAAUGCCAAACAUUUCAUGGUUCUAUGAGCUUCUCAAUUGUAAGAAUUUGUUGCAUUUCCUUGUAAUUACUUAAUUUCAAAUAGUUUAUUCGGGAUUUUUCUGAAUAGAGUAUUUUUUCUUUACUUUUAAUACUUAAAGUAAAUGUUUACUUACUUUUGCUUAAGUAAGAUUUUCAGAGUAGGAUUAUCAUAUACAGUGGAAUAUUGUGUUUAUAGUUUUACAGUGUGAUAUUUUUACUUAUGUAAAGGAUCUGAAUAUUUCUUCCAUUUGUUGUAUGCAGGAUAGUAUACAUUUAUAGUUAGUUAACCAAUAAAUUAAACAAAUUUAGCAGAUUAAGAUUUGCUAUUAAAAUAUUUCAACAAAACAUAAGAAAGAUAAUAGUUUGGGUUUAGUUUUCCAGAGUUCCAAGUGCACCCUUGUGUUUCUGUGCAUCUGUGUGCAUAGUACCUAUGUGUAUUUGUAUAUGUGCGUGUUAGUGAGAGAGAGAGAGAGCGAGAGAGAAAACCUUAUUGUUUGAUUGUUAGCUCAGAGCUAAACAGAUGCGUAAAUAGAGAUAGGGGAGCCCAGUCACAUCAGAUUAGACCAAACAACAAAAUUCCAACUGUCUCUCUUACUCUCCCACACAAACACACACAUGGUCUCGCAGACAGUAAGUGGAACUGGGAAAACAAACAGACAUCGGCAAAGCAAUGUGUCUCAAUCAUACAUGCAACCUUUAUUAACCACAACAGAAAAACACAAUCCUGCACUGUAACUAUCAUGUAAAUGUACUCAGACAUUGUAGGUCUUUGUGUGCUCCAGAAGCAUACCGACACACACCGUGGAGUAAAUACAGUGAUGACGCAUACCAUCACAUGCCUCAUAAAGCCUAAUGUUACCACUCCAAUAUCUCCAUAGGCCUUAGGCAAAACAGAGAGACCACCAUAGACAGGCAGGAAGGAAGAGAGAGAGAGAGAGGGGCACGCGGGCGAGCUGUGAUGAUGAAUUGAUUGAUGAAUGCAAAUGAAGAUGAAUGCAUGUGGCAAAUACAGAUAACAAGAGGAAUAUGAAGAGUACAGCGGCUGGUUCAGCUUUUCCUCGUAGCAGAAAAUAUGAAUAGCUGAUGUGUAUCUGGCCUAUUAAUACACAGCAGCAACAGCGAAUGCACCACUGAACCAGAUAUGGAUCCCUUAUCACAAAUCGUAUGGCCCAGAAUCAGCGGCCACCAGUCUUUCUAUACCAUCUGGAGCCCAAUCGCUGCACCGGGAUACACAGAUCAGCUUAAUUGCCCUACAUCCUAGCCUUUAUUGCCAUAUGGACUGAGUCCUAAAACUGACCAUAGAUCAGUGUACAUGCCGAGUAACUAGCAGCAGUUUGUGUUCUUAAUUGUUUGUUAAUGCAACAUCACUCCAUCACAAAACUUGCUGUGUGGAAACAACCAGGUGGAAACUGGUGUUGGUCGUAAAACGUGUGUGUGUGUGUAGCUUUUUGUGUGACUAUUUUAAUGAUUGAUUUAUCGUUUGAGUCUAUUUUCAAGCAAAAAAUGUAUAAUUUCUCUUCUUCUGGCUUUUCAAGUUUGUUUCUUUUCUCAGUUUUAUAUUAUUGGACUGUAAACUGUGUAUGGGAAUAGUUGCUCGGGCAAAAACUAACAAGACACCUUUCACUGUUUUCAUAAUUAAUCAAUAAUGAAACCAAUCCUUAGUUGCUGCCCUAGUCUGUGCUCCUGUAUUUGAGGCCUACAUGUUUACAUUUGUUGACAUAUAACUUAAAUGUAAAAUUAUAAAAUUGUGUAGAUUAGAGAGUCAAGUCACCACAAUUUCCUCCAUAAAAAACAUAAUUUCUAGUUUACUGCUACCGAUAUUUAGCCAUGCAGAUAAGUUUUAUUUUUUCGAUAUCCAUCUCUGAGACUACUGCCUCGCCUAUUGGAACUACUUUCUACCGAGGAAACUGUUGACAGCUUCUUCUGUGGAUUACAAGAAUAAUGAGGACACUGAUUUUGGAAAGAGAUGUUGUUUUUAAGUCUAAUUGUUGUGCUGUACUAUAGGAUGGAGGCAGACAUCUCAGAGAUGUUGAUGAUACUGUCUCUCAAAAGCAGGAAAAUAAAACCAAAACUAUCUGUAUGGCCGGACAAUAUGCUCCCCUCCUAAACUUUGGAUGUCAGAACUAAAAUUUAACAAAGCAAAGUGUAUUCAGGGUGAUAUGCACUCUCGCUCUCU